rnacentral:snRNA from 1 species
ACACUUACCUGGCAGGGGAGAUACCAUGACCAUGAAGGUGGUCUUCCCAGGGCGAGGCUUACUCCUUCCACUCAGUGACUGUCUCAGUGCACUUGGGGGUCAGGACCGGCGCCUCCCACCAGGGUCAAACCCCAGCCACUGUGCUCUGCCUAAGCAGGUGCUUCAGUCUGCUGAGCUCUCUC